GGUGAGAUGGACUUUUGCCUACUAGCUGAGACGUUUAUCGAGUCACCCAGUCCUCCCAACAGAGCCCUGUGGGUGUAAACAGUUCGGCGUGAAAAGCUGUGCGUGAUUCGACCACCAUCUAGCGCUGAGUCAUGCUACCAAAGUUUCGUUCCGAAAUUCAAUUGGCUGUUAUUUUUUAUUGUUUAUUUUUUUUUAAUAGCGACAGGAAAGAUUUGUUUAAUUCAUUAUUUUGCUAGGAGGAAUCUCGACAACUAUCGUGAAACAACUGAGGGACUUUUGGGAGCAAGCGCUGAAAUAAUGACGCUGUCAAAUUCUCGAAGAUAUUCGAUACCAUUUUUUCUGUCGUUGCCUCGAACUCCUCGUGAUCUAUGACAAGUGUUCAACAUUAACCUCCAACCUUUAUUUUUAUUUAAGAAAAUGGAUUUUUCCCGCUAACCUGUCAUGAGCAAAUGGCCGGCCAGCUCGCACAGGGCGGGAUUCAUACCACCGUAAUCUUUCUUCGCUCCUGCAUUUGACGUGGGCGCAAACAUAUGGUGAAAGGUUCACGCGCCCAAAGGAAUACGCGUAAUGUGUCGUAAAUUAUUUCACGAUGGACGUCGUCGGAGGAGUCGGGCGAUAACCCCUUGAAGCGAGUGCCGCGUGUGAUGAACAUAUUGUGCGCCAUUUCGUUCUGCCUCAUGUAAUCGGCCAAGGUGAAUACGUGUCUGUGUUACGAAACAAGUAGGACACCAUGGCUCACUUGCUCAUCCGUAAAAAAAAAUUAAAUUUACCUGGCCAGUUGAGUAGGAUCAUUGUCAAGUUGAAAAGCAAAUCCUUUGGCUGGGUAAUCCUUCAACGUAAAGCAAGGACCAACAAUGUGUUCAACUGGCUGGAAACAGAAACAGUUUAUUCCAAAAGGACCAGGUAGUACAGGUGGUAAUGUUGGUGAUUAAUGGACGCGCAGCCUCCAGGACUACUAAAUCCGGCUUUGAAACGACUUGAACCGCAAUAGAAAAACAGUUUCAGAAAUGGUGAAAGUAUUGUUAUAAAAUUCCGUAGCUUGCUUACGGGUCAGCGCUGCGGAGAACUGUUGUUAGCAAGAGUUCCAGUCCGUAAAGUGUCAUACGUUGGGGGAUGUGUUGCGACACUCUUGGAACUAGCAGGCAACUACCAAAUUCAAGUGGACUCAUGUUGAUGAUUAGAAACGUAUCAACCUCGCU